CAGAUUCAGAGCCCCAGCCUGUUCAUAAAAAAAAUCAGAUGAAUUUUGUCUGCGGAACAUUCUGCAAAAAUAUCUGACCAGGAAAGAUAAAUAAGAUGCAAAAAGUCACACACACAGGAAAUGAUUAAUACAAUUUUAUGGCAUCAAAAGAUACCAUCGAUAAAGUAAAACACAAGUCACGAACUAGGGGAAAGAAGAUGAGGUAACAUCCAAAAUACAUGAAGAAAUCUUGUAAGUCUAUUAAAAGACUAUACGACCUAACAGAAAGAAGCAGCAAAAGCCAUGAAAAGAGCUGGGGAUUGUGGUAUGUGCCUUUAGUCCUAGCUACUCCGGAGGCUGAGGCAGGAGGAUCACCUGAGCCCAGGACUUUGAGGCCGCUGUAAGCUAUGAUCAUGCCACUGCACUCCAGCUCAGGCAACAGUGAGACCCGGUCUCAACAAACAAAAGAAAAUAAAAGAAUGGUAGACAAGGAAAGCAGUUGAACAGCUAUGCGAGAAGCCUACUUUCUCUUCAUGUAACACGUUGGCCUAAGAGAUCUAUAGAGCUUUUUAAAAACAAAGAAGGCAGCAAGAUUUAAAAUAAUAAAACCAGCAAUAGGUAUUUUUAAAAGUGAGAGAAACUAUCAGAGAGCUGUAGCAGAAAAGCAAGUUAAAAAUAAAGGAAACAGAAAAGGAACUGAUACAGCUGAUUUGAUACUGGAAAAAUCACCCAGGAGGCAGCGUGGAC
rnacentral:lncRNA from 10 species